UACACUCCUGCGGGAGGCAGCAGUGGGGAAUUUUGGACAAUGGGCGAAAGCCUGAUCCAGCCAUGCCGCGUGCAGGAUGAAGGCCUUCGGGUUGUAAACUGCUUUUGUACGGAACGAAACGGCCUUUUCUAAUAAAGAGGGCUAAUGACGGUACCGUAAGAAUAAGCACCGGCUAACUACGUGCCAGCAGCCGCGGUAAUACGUAGGGUGCAAGCGUUAAUCGGAAUUACUGGGCGUAAAGCGUGCGCAGGCGGUUAUGUAAGACAGUUGUGAAAUCCCCGGGCUCAACCUGGGAACUGCAUCUGUGACUGCAUAGCUAGAGUACGGUAGAGGGGGAUGGAAUUCCGCGUGUAGCAGUGAAAUGCGUAGAUAUGCGGAGGAACACCGAUGGCGAAGGCAAUCCCCUGGACCUGUACUGACGCUCAUGCACGAAAGCGUGGGGAGCAAACAGGAUUAGAAACCCGGGUAGUCCC
rnacentral:rRNA from 1 species